AACGAACGCUGGCGGCAUGCCUAACACAUGCAAGUCGAACGUGAUCCAAGCCUUCGGGUUUGGUGAAAGUGGCAGACGGGUGAGUAACGCGUGGGAACCUGCCCAAUGGUAGGGAAUAACCGCGGGAAACUGCGGCUAAUACCCUAUGACCCCUGCGGGGGAAAGAUUUAUCGCCAUUGGAGGGGCCCGCGUCGGAUUAGGUAGUUGGUAGGGUAACGGCCUACCAAGCCUUCGAUCCGUAGCUGGUCUGAGAGGAUGAUCAGCCACACU
rnacentral:rRNA from 1 species